rnacentral:rRNA from 1 species
GGAAAGUUGCAAAGUACUUUGAAGAGAGAGUUCAAGAGGACGUGAAACCGAUAGGAUGGAAGCAGAUGAAGUUGUCGAACGUGUGUCGUAUUCAAAAUCGCUGUCAGCGGUUUGUUUUUACGGCCGAUGUGGGCCGGCGGCUUUGGUCAAUGCAACGCGUCUAGCGUCGAUGGUGACCCUGCGGAGGGACAAUCAGUCGUCGUACGGUGCUUGGUAUGGCUAAGGUUUCGCCGGUCUUAAAGUCAGCGCCUCAUCUGACCCGUCUUGAAACACGGACCAAGGAGUGUAGCGUUUGCGCAAGUCUUAGAGUGUAUCGAAACUUUGAGGCGUAACGAAAGUAAAUGCAGUUUAAUCUGCUGACUUGGGAUGCGUUGUCUCUUGUGGACGGCGCUGGACCAAGGUUUUAUCGCGAUCGCUUGCGGUGCGGUGAAAAUAGAGCGUAAACGGUGCGACCCGAAA